rnacentral:rRNA from 1 species
UCAGAGGAAUUUGUCUUUUUAUCGUCAUUACCCGAUUAUUUUCACUUUUUUUCAUUUUCUAUAUCGCCGUCUUAAGAUUAAAUUUCAAAGUUUAAUCUCNAACUCUUUUGAUAAGUCAGGUCNAGGUGGAGAUUAUAAAAAAGNCUNGAUUAAUUAUAAAUAAACAAUAUUUAAGGUCAUUUUUCUNAAGAGAUUAUAAAUUAAGAUUUGAAAGUAGUUUUUUAUUAAGAAUUUAAAAUGAACUUUGCUUUAGGUGUACAUAUCGCCCGUCACCCUCGUCCAAAGAUGAGGUAAGUCGUAACAUAGUUAGUGUACUGGAAAGUGCACUAAGGGAGAUUAUAAGCUUUAGCGUUUCAUUUACACAGAAAAGAAUGUUUACAAAAUUUACCUAUUUGUUUAUUAUUUAAAAUAAUAUUUAUAAGAUUUUAAUUCUAAUUUCUUUUUUAUUACCGUGAGGGUAAAAGAAUUGGUUCAAAGAAAUUAUUAUUUACCUUUUGUAUCAGGGUGUCUCAAAUCCCCCCUUUAAAAAGAUUCUCCCGAAAUAAAAUGAGCUACUUUAUUUAUCAUAUUUUAUAGCAAAAAAAUAGUAAAUAUUCAGUAGAAGUGAAAUUCUAUCCGUAUUUUUUUAUAUCUGGUUUUUUCAGAGAGUAAUAUUACUUAAAUUUAAAAAGGGACAAUCUUUUUUAAUUAUUCUAUUCUCUAAUUCUUUAUUAUUUUAGGAUUAGUAGUGUCUUUUUGUGUAAAAACUUCAUUUAUUAUUUUCAAUAAAUUNUAUUAUGAAAUUUAAAUCUUUUUAUAAAAAUAAUGAUUCAAUCAGUAAAGAUUGAUUUUAAUUAAUAAAUUAAAUUUUUCAAAUUAACUCUUUAAAUUUUUAUUCAUAAACUCGGCUAAGUUUUCUGACUGUUUACCAAAAACAUUUCUGAAUGCUAUUUCUUUUCAGUAAGACCUGCUCAAUGAUCUUUAAAUAGCCGCAAUUUUGUGCUAAGGUAGCAUAAUCACUUGCCUUAUAAUUUAAGGCUAGAAUGAAAGGUUUAACAUGAUAACUUCUUUAUAAAUAAGAAUUCUUGAAUUUUACUUAUAAGUAAAAAGGCUUAUAUUCUUUAGGAGGACGACAAGACCCUGACGAGCUUUACUUACUUAGUUGCACUGGGGUGGUAAAAAACUAAAUCUUUAUUUCUCCUUUUCUCUUUAGCCUUUUUAUAAGAUACCAAGUUACCGCAGGGAUAACAGCAUAAUUUUUUUCUAGAGACCUUAUCUAAAAGAAAGAUUGUGACCUCGAUGUUGAAUUAAUU